rnacentral:rRNA from 1 species
GAGGAAUAUUGGGCAAUGCCCGCAAGGGUGACCCAGCAACGCCGCGUGGAGGAUGAAUGUCGUAAGAUUGUAAACUCCUGUUAGAGGGGAAGAAUAGUACCGGUUGGACCGGUAUAUGACUGUACCCUCAGAGAAAGCCCCGGCUAACUACGUGCCAGCAGCCGCGGUAAUACGUAGGGGGCAAGCGUUGUCCGGAUUUACUGGGUGUAAAGGGCGCGCAGGCGGAAUGGAAAGUCAGUGGUGAAAUCCUACAGCUUAACUGUAGAACUGCCUUUGAUACUUUCAUUCUUGAGUUCGGGAGAGAGAGACGGAAUUCCAGGUGUAGUGGUGAAAUACGUAGAUAUCUGGAAGAACACCAGUUGCGAAGGCGGUCUCUUGGUCCGAUACUGACGCUGAGGCGCGAAAGCGUGGGGAGCAAACA